rnacentral:rRNA from 1 species
CCCCUAGUAACUGCGAGUGAAGCGGGAAAAGCUCAAAUUUAAAAUCUGGCGGUCUUUGGCCGUCCGAGUUGUAGUCUGGAGAAGUGCUUUCCGCGCUGGACCGUGUAUAAGUCUCUUGGAACAGAGCGUCAUAGAGGGUGAGAAUCCCGUCUUUGACACGGACUACCAGUGCUUUGUGAUGCGCUCUCAAAGAGUCGAGUUGUUUGGGAAUGCAGCUCAAAAUGGGUGGUGAAUUCCAUCUAAAGCUAAAUAUUGGCGAGAGACCGAUAGCGAACAAGUACCGUGAGGGAAAGAUGAAAAGCACUUUGGAAAGAGAGUUAAACAGUACGUGAAAUUGCUGAAAGGGAAACGCUUGAAGUCAGUCGCGUUGUCUGGAACUCAGCCUUGCUUUUGCUUGGUGCAUUUUCCGGAUGACGGGCCAGCAUCGAUUUUGACCGUCGGAAAAGGGCUAGGGUAAUGUGGCACCUCCGGGUGUGUUAUAGACUCUAGUCGCAUACGGCGGUCGGGAUCGAGGAACGCAGCGCGCCGUAAGGCAGGGGUUCGCCCACUUUCGCGCUUAGGAUGCUGGCGUAAUGGCUUUAAACGACCCGUCUUGAAACACGGACCAAGGAGUCUAACAUACCUGCGAGUGUUUGGGUGGAAAACCCGAGCGCGUAAUGAAAGUGAAAGUUGAGACCUCUGUCGUGGAGGGCAUCGACGCCCGGACCUGACGUUCUCUGACGGAUCCGCGGUAGAGCAUGUAUGUUGGGACCCGAAAGAUGGUGAACUAUGCCUGAAUAGGGUGAAGCCAGAGGAAACUCUGGUGGAGGCUCGUAGCGAUUCUGACGUGCAAAUCGAUCGUCAAAUUUGGGUAUAGGGGCGAAAGACUAAUCGAU